rnacentral:rRNA from 1 species
UACAGAGGUCCCAAGCGUUGUUCGGAUUUACUGGGCGUAAAGGGUGCGUAGGCGGUUGGGUAAGUCUGACGUGAAAUCUCCGGGCCUAACCCGGAAACUGCGUUGGAUACUAUUUGACUAGAGGAAUGGAGGGGAGACUGGAAUACUUGGUGUAGCAGUGAAAUGCGUAGAUAUGCGGAGGAACACCGAUGGCGAAGGCAGCCUCCUGGGAUAACACUGACGCUCAUGCACGAAAGCGUGGGGAGCAAACAGG